rnacentral:tRNA from 1 species
UUUCUCUUAGCUUAAUUAAGAGUGUCAGUUUGAAGGUCUGGAGGUAUAUAAUUCAUUAUGUAGAGAAAG